GAUGAAGAACGCAGUGAAAUGCGAUACUUGGUGUGAAUUGCAGAAUCCCGCGAAUCAUCGAGUUUUUGAACGCAAGUUGCGCCCGAAGCCAUUCGGCCGAGGGCACGUCUGCCUGGGUGUCACGCAUCGUUGCCCCCCCAAACUCCGGUUCGGGCGGGGCGGAAGUUGGCCUCCCGUGCGUGCCUGCGCGCGCGGUUAGCCCAAAAGCGAGUCCUCGGCGAUGAGCGCCACGACAAUCGGUGGUUUUUUUACCCUCGUUCCUCGUCGUGCGUGCCCCGUCGCCCGAACGCGCUCUUGCAACCCUUACGCGUCGCCUCGGUGGCGCUCCCAACGCGACCCCAGGUCAGGCGGGACUACCCGCUGAGUUUAAGCAUAUCAAAAGCGGAGGA
rnacentral:misc_RNA from 1 species